rnacentral:lncRNA from 1 species
UAGACUCUGAUUUGUACAGGGAAGUAAAAAGUAAAGAAAAAAUUUUAAAUUUGAACGGUUGAAUUCAUUAAUUUUUUCAUUUGCUUUUCUUUGUUUCUCCUACUUCCCUUUCCCUGACAUUCUAGGCAUACAUAUAUUGGCUCUAGGUUAAUCAAUAAUAGUUUUUUUAUUUUUUUGCUUCCUAUAAAUUUUAGAGAAAAAUAAAAUAUCUCAUUGGAUCCAAUAACAUGUUUCAAAAGCAAAGUGAUAUGUGAUGAAAUGAUAAUUUUGAUUCAAUAUUUGUCAAAUAAAAGAAUAUAUCGUGUUAAUGCAAGAUCAAUGUAUUCGGUUAUAUAAGUAAUGUUUGUUCCAUAAUGGAUCUUAAUUCAUGAUAUAAAAUGAUUAAGUGAACGACAACGUGGAGAGGAAAAAUUAAUCCUUAAUUAUCCAUUUUAAUUAUUUCUUUUUUCUAUUUUAUCGGAUUAUAUUUUUUUUAACCGGGGAUUAUUUUUCGUGUUGCAGGUAUGCCAUCAACUUUGUACCUAAAUAAAUAUACAUUGUAUGCAACCAUUUUCUUAUUCAACUCAUCCUCAUUACUUUUAACAUUUAUGUUUUUUUGUGUGUGUAUUUUUGUGUGUUUUUUGUGGGUAUCAGACACUGAAGAGGGAAUUGCACAGGCAUCAAGUACGAAGUAUACUUUAAGAGGGAUCCGUGGCCAAAAGUUUCAGACGACGCUAAGGAACUUGUACGUGAAGGGAAUGCUUGAUCCGAACCCUUACACCCGCAUGACUGUUGAAGAAGUCCUCGGUACGUACUUCUUAAUGUACAUCGAAUCAAUACAUUUCUUCUUGAUGCGACGAAGAAUCAAUCUAAACCACCAUCCUAAAUUGAAAAAAGAUACAUACAGAGGUUCAAACAACAAUAACAAGAGUAACAUUAGUUCUUCUUUGUAUUCUAUAUUUCUAUGGCCUUUUUUUAGAAACAGAUUAUAUAGCUAGAGAAUGAUUCAAGUUUGCACAAAGAAUGUCAUUUUAGUCUAGUAUAAUUAAAAUAAGCUCAUCUUGAAACCAUGAAACUAAGGAUUGGAAUCUUAUAUAGUCUCAACCAAGUGAGCUAUGUAUCCAUAUUUAUGCAAGCAAGGAUGAAGAAUAUUAGUCCCAAAAUGUGAAUUUUCACAUGGAAAAGGGUUUUCAAUUAGGGUGUGUUUGGAUCACGGAUUUGUUGAGAUUAAAAGCGAAAGCACUCAAGAACCGAGAUUCGAACGCAACCAAUAGAAAUACGAUGAAAAAUAAAAUAGAGAAAAACACGCAAAAUUUAAGUGGUUCAGCAAUAACCGACUACUCCAUGGAGAAGAUCCAGUUCUUUCACUAUGAGUAAAAUUGUACAAUUACACUUGAGUAUGAAAAUCCCACACUCAAUCCAUUAGACUCCACUCAUCAAGAACUCACUCUCACCAUUUAUCAUUUAUUAAAACUUGAUCCUUGCACACAAAUUGAUUUUUCUCUCUGUUCUUCACUGUAUUCCUCUCUCCCUCAUGCCAUUUUUGAAGGCACCCACCAACCCAUGUAUUUAAAACAUAGUACAUGUUCCAACAAGAAGUUGGAAAGCCAUUGAAAGGCACACACGGCAAUAAAAAGAAAAAAUCCAGCUACCCCAACUAUUACAUUGGUAAUCACAGAGAGAGAAAAAAACUAUGCAGGAAAUUUAAACCCAUUGGAAUUGGAACCUGAUGUGGGGUAAAGUAUUCACCUAUUAAUGUUCAAGUACCUCGCCCCAAGGGAGGCUGGACAUCACCAUACAUCAAUCCUAUGAAGUCCCGUCUCCGCAUUUACAAUACCGACUGCAAUCCCGAACCCUCUUGACCGAGGUAAAACGAGUCUAACGUCCAGCACGGAACCUCGCCAAGCUAUCUCCAUUAAGCUCGCCCAGAGCCAAAGUGCUGUCUCCUCCUCGCCCUUGGGCGAAGUGAAAUACUUGAUCAUAAGCCAUCUCCACCAGAUCCUCAUUUAUACGCCCAUCGCGAGAUUGUCUCCUCCACGGCACCGACAAUUACGGGAUACUCUCCAAAUGGCAAUCUUCCCAAUUAUGUCUCCUAUAUCUCCGAGAUAUCCUUCCAUACUUACCCUUCCGAGGAUCUCGCCGUGAUCCAUGGGCACGGCUCAUUACUCCGUCUAUAAAAAGGCCGCUCCCCAUUAAACAAAGGUACGCUCUAACACGCUGAACACACCACAAUUCUCUUCAGAGCUAUUUUACCCACUGUUACCGCUUUGGUCUGAUCUCCACGCCGGAGGGGUUUUGAGCGGCCUCGCCCCGGCCGUUUACUUUUGUUCGUCUGUGCAGGUCGCCCUUCAAAUAUCCGAGGUCCAGUGCCGAGGAGACCGAGCAAUAGUAACUGUUGGUUGCUCGCCCCAGUUUUUUACCACAAUAGUUUGGCGCCGUCUGUGGGAACGACAGUUCUCUAUGCACCUGCGCAGCCGCAACCUACCCAGACCAAGUGCCAGUAGCCCCCGGGUAACAGAUC